UGAAUAUUUUUCGAAUAUAUUUUAAUAUUUCUUUUAAUAUUUCUUGAAUAUUUCUUGAAUAUUUCUUGAUUUUUUUUUUAAUCUUUUUUUUUCACCAACCACUAACCCACUGGUUCCCAAUGGGGAUCACUCCUUUUGUUUUCCUGGAAACUUUGUAAAAAGCAAGAUAUGUGGCAUACGCAGGUUGUCUUCCCUCUUUAUCACGUAUCAUAAUCUUUGUAAUGAAACUUUCCUUUGGAUAGUUCUUGAAUAUGGUUUUAAAGAUUUUUCGAAGAUUCUUUUGAAUAUUUCUUGAUUUUUU
ensembl:lncRNA